GCAGCUUUAGCUCACUUGGGAGAGCGCCAGACUGAAGUCUACUUCAGCCUAAGCACCUGUGCGGUAUCUGGAGGUACUGUGUUCGAUCCACAGAAGCUGCA